UGACCCCAAAAAAUGCUUUAAUUAUUCAUAAAAAAAAAAAAAAUAAUAAAGAUCGGUGGUACAAGAGUAUCCCUCAAACUCAAGGGAGACUUUUGGCAUCACCAUUGAAGUUUUGAAAAUUAGGGCGAAAUCUCGCAGAGGAAAGUAACCGUCUAUUAAUACAUCAUCGGUCCGUUAUUGUAUCAGAAACAUUAAGCACAACCAUAUAAUAAGAGAGUGUGCGCAUACCAGGCCAUAUGUACAAGAGCUGAAGCCAUCUGGUUUUCCAAACAUCACACAGCAAACAAGCAAGCAAAGCAAA